GCCAGGUUAGCCUAGUGGUACGGCGGCCGCCUCGAAAGCGGCUGUGCUUUUGCACCCAGGGGUUCGAAUCCCUUACCUGGCG
rnacentral:tRNA from 1 species